rnacentral:rRNA from 1 species
UACGUAGGGUGCGAGCGUUGUCCGGAAUUACUGGGCGUAAAGAGCUCGUAGGUGGUUUGUCGCGUUGUCCGUGAAAACUCACAACUCAAUUGUGGGCGUGCGGGCGAUACGGGCAGACUGGAGUACUGCAGGGGAGACUGGAAUUCCUGGUGUAGCGGUGGAAUGCGCAGAUAUCAGGAGGAACACCCGUGGCGAAGGCGGCUCUCUGGGACGGUACUGACGCUGAGACGCGAAAGCGUGGGGAGCGAACAGG